UUUAAAGAAAUGGGGUAGGGUUGGAGAUGACCUAAGUGAUUCAUUCUCUUCUCUCUUCCAUCUUUCUCUCGUUCUCUUCUAUCUCUCUCGUCUCUGGGAUUUUUGUUUUUGUCUCCAUUUUUUUCUUCAAUCUAUUUCUCUUGUUUCCUUUUUUAUUUUACGCUCUGAUUUCUCUGAUUUCUCAUCUCUAUUCUCUACUUUUCAUUCCCGAUUCUGCUUUUCUGCUUUUCGAUUGCUUCUCUUCUCUUCGUGGCUGUUAGGGCAAAGUCGAGUAGAGGUCGAGACUGAAUCUUCCGGAGCAUCGUGUUAAAACUGUGUGUGGUGUUUUAUCCGUCAUUGUCUAUGGAUACCGAGAAAAGCCAGUGUUAAUUACUUAUCCAGAUAUGACCCUUAACCAUAUGUCAUGCUUCCAAGGAUUAUUCUUUUGCGCUGAAGCAGCUUCCUUGCUGCUACAUAACUUCGUACUGGGUUUUGCUAAGGAGAUCCGAACAAAAGUUUAAUGCUCUGAUACUGAAGAGGCUUUUCAUGAGCAAAGUCAACAAGGCUCUUUCUCUCUAUACUUGUCACUUUCAUGAAGGGCAAGGAGGGUAAGAUUGCUGUGUUGGUUGGUGUUGCUAUUGAUAACUUCUUGAUUAUGAUGGCCUCAGUCGUUUGAAACAGUUUUUAGCCUUGAACAAGCUCAAUCUCCGACAGCAUAUAUGUCUUCUCAAGCACCGGAAACCGCAGCCACCAACGCAGCAGCCACAUCAACACUCACAGCAGCAGGCAACGCACCAGGCACCCCACCAGAAACCUUACCAUCCACCUCUCCAUCUUAAAACUUUCAUGUUUGAGAUUAUACAUUUUGGAUAUUUUGUUUCAUGUUUUCGAUUUUCUUUGUGUAAUAGAAACAUAUUGACUUUUUGGUUUUGGUAUUUGUAGUAAGUUUCGAAAAUCGAAUCGGAUUUAAGGAAUUUAUUUUUUUUUUCUUUUGUUUA